AUGCAAGGCCCUCCUGGUCUGCCUCCUCCGGCCCCAUUCUACCCCGGCGGAUACCCUCCUCCGCCGGGCUGGCCUGGUUACCCUAUGCCAUUUGUUCCGGUGCAAGGGUACGGAGCUCCACCUGGUGCGUAUCCUCAACCCGGAGGAUACCCUCCGGCCGGGUAUCCACAACAACAUGGCCAUGCGCAGCCCGCUGGCUAUGCCGUCCAUGAUAAAUCGAAGAAGAAGUCUUCAAAGAAAGGAAAAAAAGGUAAGGGUGGUGGCUUCGGCUCAUUCCUCGCCGGUGCCGCUAGCGGUGCAGUUACGGUACUUGGAGCUGUAUUGGCUGAAGAUGAAGAACAGUCUUCUGGCAAGUUCAAAUGGAAGUGA
rnacentral:rRNA from 1 species